rnacentral:rRNA from 1 species
UACAGAGGUCCCAAGCGUUGUUCGGAUUCACUGGGCGUAAAGGGUGCGUAGGUGGUUGGGUAAGUCUGAUGUGAAAUCUCCGAGCUUAACUCGGAAAUGGCAUUGGAUACUAUUCGGCUAGAGGGUUUGAGGGGGGACUGGAAUACUUGGUGUAGCAGUGAAAUGCGUAGAUAUCAAGUGGAACACCAGUGGCGAAGGCGAAUCCCUGGAAAAUACCUGACACUGAGGCACGAAAGCUAGGGGAGCAAACAGG